AGUGAACGCUGGCGGUAGGCCUAACAUAUGCAAGUCGAACGGCAGCACAGUAAGAGCUUGCUCUUACGGGUGGCGAGUGGCGGACGGGUGAGGAAUACAUCGGAAUCUACUUUUUCGUGGGGGAUAACGUAGGGAAACUUACGCUAAUACCGCAUACGACCUACGGGUGAAAGCAGGGGAUCUUCGGACCUUGCGCGAUUGAAUGAGCCGAUGUCGGAUUAGCUAGUUGGCGGGGUAAAGGCCCACCAAGGCGACGAUCCGUAGCUGGUCUGAGAGGAUGAUCAGCCACACUGGAACUGAGACACGGUCCAGACUCCUACGGGAGGCAGCAGUGGGGAAUAUUGGACAAUGGGCGCAAGCCUGAUCCAGCCAUACCGCGUGGGUGAAGAAGGCCUUCGGGUUGUAAAGCCCUUUUGCUGGGAAAGAAAAGCAGCAGGUUAAUACCCCGCUGUUCUGACGGUACCCAAAGAAUAAGCACCGGCUAACUUCGUG
rnacentral:rRNA from 1 species